AUGAACGCUGGCGGCGUGCCUAAUACAUGCAAGUCGAACGGAGAUUGUAGCAAUACAUUCUUAGUGGCGAACGGGUGAGUAACGCGUUGGUGACCUGCCCCAAAGUGAGGGAUAACAGCCCGAAAGGGUUGCUAAUACCUCCUGUGGUCUUAGAGAUCAGAUGCUCUUAGACUAAAGGAUUUAUUCGCUUCGGGAGGGGCCUGCGUCCCAUCAGCUAGUUGGUAGGGUAAUGGCCUACCAAGGCUUUGACGGGUAGGGGACCUGAGAGGGUGGCCCCCCACAAUGGAACUGAAACACGGUCCAUACACCUACGGGUGGCAGCAGUAGGGAAUAUUAGUAAUGGGCGAAAGCCUGAACUAGCAACACCGCGUGUGCGAUGAAGGCCUUCGGGUUGUAAAGCACUUUUCGGGAGGAUGAGGAAGGACGGUACUCCCGGAAUAAGUCUCGGCUAACUACGU
rnacentral:rRNA from 1 species